CGUGGGUAAUCUGCCUUCGGGUUUGGGACAACUCCGGGAAACUGGAGCUAAUACCGAAUAAGACCACGAGGUCUCCGGACCUUGCGGAAAAAGGUGGCCUCUUCUUGAAAGCUAUCGCCUGUUGUUGAGCCCGCGUCCCAUUAGCUUGUUGGUGAGGUAAGAGCUCACCAAGGCAUCGAUGGGUAGCUGGUCUGAGAGGAUGAUCAGCCACACUGGAACUGAGACACGGUCCAG
rnacentral:rRNA from 1 species